rnacentral:lncRNA from 1 species
AUGCAAAGGCUAAAUUGCAUAGCUCAUGGCUUACAUGCAAGCUAUGGUAAAAAGAGCUCAAAGGAAUUCAUGAGCCCCAAGGUUCAAAAACUGAAAGUAUAUAUGUUCUGUCACUUUCUAACUCUCUUAAGACCCAAUGAGGCUUUCAUUUGGGGUCGAGGUUUUGUUUGUAUGUUCACAGAUAAUGAAAACAUCUGGUCACCCACGUCAUGCUUCAUGCCAGCUGAUACAGACCAGGAAGAGAAGCAGACGGAAGGUGAUGGCAUCAGCUACCUACAUGCCAGCCACAAUCCAGACUCGCUGGAAGGACACUUCUUUGGUGACUAAUAUCACUCUAGAACAAUGACAUUACACUAUUAGAGACAUUGGCUAUUAGGCCACUGAAGGACACUUGUCAUGCUGACAUCCAUUGAGAUGGGGUACGCAGAGCAACAUCAAGUAUGCUAAUUCAGAAGGACUAAAUCACACUUGUGUCUGUACAAGACACCAGAUACAUCCCACAUUCCAAAGACUUUGCGAUGGGAUUGAGAUGAAAUAGCUACAAAUUGUCUAGCUACUAAAGUAUACCUUGUAUUUUGUCUAUGACACUGUCAAAGGGAAUUUUGUAUGCAUUAUGAAUUGUAUGCAUUGUAAAUCCACCACUUGUAUUAUAAGAAAUGCUGUUAUCAACAAGGGUAUAGACCUUGGUAUGACUCUCCAAAGAGUAGGAGAUAGAAAACUUUCAUUCAUAGGAUAGAUCUGAUAUUUCUGACAUCAAAAAUGAGGUGCUAAGCAGAAAAUGCUGCACAGACAGGUUUAAUGGACAGAUGACACUGAUGUUACUCUCAAGAAAGGAUGAGAGAUCAGGGAAAAGACACUAGAAAAUCUUUAAUCAGGAACCUGAGUUAUUGUAAGAGAUCAUUGACAUCCAGGCAAAGAUUAUGUUCCUGACAAUACCAGGAUGGACAUUAAGGGCUGACUACCAGAGAUGUAGUUGAGUGUUAAUACCAUUGUUAACCAUUACUCCUGAUACCCUGUCUUUGUGGGUAAUAUCUUAAUAGGAAAAAUGUCUUGC